rfam:Klebsiella pneumoniae subsp. pneumoniae MGH 78578, complete sequence.
AAAUUGAAGAGUUUGAUCAUGGCUCAGAUUGAACGCUGGCGGCAGGCCUAACACAUGCAAGUCGAGCGGUAGCACAGAGAGCUUGCUCUCGGGUGACGAGCGGCGGACGGGUGAGUAAUGUCUGGGAAACUGCCUGAUGGAGGGGGAUAACUACUGGAAACGGUAGCUAAUACCGCAUAACGUCGCAAGACCAAAGUGGGGGACCUUCGGGCCUCAUGCCAUCAGAUGUGCCCAGAUGGGAUUAGCUAGUAGGUGGGGUAACGGCUCACCUAGGCGACGAUCCCUAGCUGGUCUGAGAGGAUGACCAGCCACACUGGAACUGAGACACGGUCCAGACUCCUACGGGAGGCAGCAGUGGGGAAUAUUGCACAAUGGGCGCAAGCCUGAUGCAGCCAUGCCGCGUGUGUGAAGAAGGCCUUCGGGUUGUAAAGCACUUUCAGCGGGGAGGAAGGCGUUAAGGUUAAUAACCUUGGCGAUUGACGUUACCCGCAGAAGAAGCACCGGCUAACUCCGUGCCAGCAGCCGCGGUAAUACGGAGGGUGCAAGCGUUAAUCGGAAUUACUGGGCGUAAAGCGCACGCAGGCGGUCUGUCAAGUCGGAUGUGAAAUCCCCGGGCUCAACCUGGGAACUGCAUUCGAAACUGGCAGGCUAGAGUCUUGUAGAGGGGGGUAGAAUUCCAGGUGUAGCGGUGAAAUGCGUAGAGAUCUGGAGGAAUACCGGUGGCGAAGGCGGCCCCCUGGACAAAGACUGACGCUCAGGUGCGAAAGCGUGGGGAGCAAACAGGAUUAGAUACCCUGGUAGUCCACGCCGUAAACGAUGUCGAUUUGGAGGUUGUGCCCUUGAGGCGUGGCUUCCGGAGCUAACGCGUUAAAUCGACCGCCUGGGGAGUACGGCCGCAAGGUUAAAACUCAAAUGAAUUGACGGGGGCCCGCACAAGCGGUGGAGCAUGUGGUUUAAUUCGAUGCAACGCGAAGAACCUUACCUGGUCUUGACAUCCACAGAACUUAGCAGAGAUGCUUUGGUGCCUUCGGGAACUGUGAGACAGGUGCUGCAUGGCUGUCGUCAGCUCGUGUUGUGAAAUGUUGGGUUAAGUCCCGCAACGAGCGCAACCCUUAUCCUUUGUUGCCAGCGGUUCGGCCGGGAACUCAAAGGAGACUGCCAGUGAUAAACUGGAGGAAGGUGGGGAUGACGUCAAGUCAUCAUGGCCCUUACGACCAGGGCUACACACGUGCUACAAUGGCAUAUACAAAGAGAAGCGACCUCGCGAGAGCAAGCGGACCUCAUAAAGUAUGUCGUAGUCCGGAUUGGAGUCUGCAACUCGACUCCAUGAAGUCGGAAUCGCUAGUAAUCGUAGAUCAGAAUGCUACGGUGAAUACGUUCCCGGGCCUUGUACACACCGCCCGUCACACCAUGGGAGUGGGUUGCAAAAGAAGUAGGUAGCUUAACCUUCGGGAGGGCGCUUACCACUUUGUGAUUCAUGACUGGGGUGAAGUCGUAACAAGGUAACCGUAGGGGAACCUGCGGUUGGAUCACCUCCUUA